rnacentral:snRNA from 1 species
UCUUUCUUUGGUAACAUAUAUACUAAACUGGAACAAUACAGAGAAGAUUGGCAUGGCCUCUGUGUAGUUAUGACACCACAUUAUUCAUGAAGCAUUCCAUAUUUUC